GACUCCUACGGGAGGCAGCAGUGAGGAAUAUUGGACAAUGGGCGAAAGCCUGAUCCAGCCAUGCCGCGUGCAGGAAGACUGCCCUAUGGGUUGUAAACUGCUUUUGUAUAGGAAGAAACCUUUCCUCGUGAGGAAAAUUGACGGUACUAUACGAAUAAGGAUCGGCUAACUCCGUGCCAGCAGCCGGUAAUACGGAGGGUGCGAACG
rnacentral:rRNA from 10 species